rnacentral:rRNA from 1 species
CCUACGGGAGGCAGCAGUGGGGAAUAUUGGGCAAUGGGCGCAAGCCUGACCCAGCAACGCCGCGUGAAGGAAGAAGGCUUUCGGGUUGUAAACUUCUUUUCUCAGGGACGAAGCAAGUGACGGUACCUGAGGAAUAAGCCACGGCUAACUACGUGCCAGCAGCCGCGGUAAUCCGUAGGUGGCAAGCGUUAUCCGGAUUUACUGGGUGUAAAGGGCGUGUAGGCGGGAAAGCAAGUCAGAUGUGAAAACCAUGGGCCUAACCUGUGGCCUGCAUUUGAAACUGUUUUUCUUGAGUACUGGAGAGGCAGGCGGAAUUCCUGGUGUAGCGGUGAAAUGCGUAGAUAUCAGGAGGAACACCGGUGGCGAAGGCGGUCUGCUGGACAGCGACUGACGCUGAGGCGCGAAAGCGUGGGGAGCAAACAGGAUUAGAUACCCGGGUAGUC